CGGGGCGUAGCGCAGUCUGGUAGCGUACUUGCAUGGGGUGCAAGUGGUCGUCGGUUCAAAUCCGGCCGUCCCGA
rfam:Gammaproteobacteria bacterium RBG_16_37_9 RBG_16_scaffold_6984, whole genome shotgun sequence.